CUAACACAUGCAGUCGAGCGGAAACGAGUUAACUGAACCUUCGGGGAACGUUAACGGCGUCGAGCGGCGGACGGGUGAGUAAUGCCUAGGAAAUUGCCCUGAUGUGGGGGAUAACCAUUGGAAACGAUGGCUAAUACCGCAUAAUGCCUUCGGGCCAAAGAGGGGGACCUUCGGGCCUCUCGCGUCAGGAUAUGCCUAGGUGGGAUUAGCUAGUUGGUGAGGUAAGGGCUCACCAAGGCGACGAUCCCUAGCUGGUCUGAGAGGAUGAUCAGCCACACUGGAACUGAGACACGGUCCAGACUCCUACGGGAGGCAGCAGUGGGGAAUAUUGCACAAUGGGCGCAAGCCUGAUGCAGCCAUGCCGCGUGUAUGAAGAAGGCCUUCGGGUUGUAAAGUACUUUCAGCAGUGAGGAAGGUGGUGUAGUUAAUAACUGCAUCAUUUGACGUUAGCUGCAGAAGAAGCACCGGCUAACUCCGUGCCAGCAGCCGCGGUAAUACGGAGGGUGCGAGCGUUAAUCGGAAUUACUGGGCGUAAAGCGCAUGCAGGUGGUUUGUUAAGUCAGAUGUGAAAGCCCGGGGCUCAACCUCGGAAUUGCAUUUGAAACUGGCAGACUAGAGUACUGUAGAGGGGGGUAGAAUUUCAGGUGUAGCGGUGAAAUGCGUAGAGAUCUGAAGGAAUACCGGUGGCGAAGGCGGCCCCCUGGACAGAUACUGACACUCAGAUGCGAAAGCGUGGGGAGCAAACAGGAUUAGAUACCCUGGUAGUCCACGCCGUAAACGAUGUCUACUUGGAGGUUGUGGCCUUGAGCCGUGGCUUUCGGAGCUAACGCGUUAAGUAGACCGCCUGGGGAGUACGGUCGCAAGAUUAAAACUCAAAUGAAUUGACGGGGGCCCGCACAAGCGGUGGAGCAUGUGGUUUAAUUCGAUGCAACGCGAAGAACCUUACCUACUCUUGACAUCCAGAGAAGCCAGUAGAGAUACAGGUGUGCCUUCGGGAACUCUGAGACAGGUGCUGCAUGGCUGUCGUCAGCUCGUGUUGUGAAAUGUUGGGUUAAGUCCCGCAACGAGCGCAACCCUUAUCCUUGUUUGCCAGCGAGUAAUGUCGGGAACUCCAGGGAGACUGCCGGUGAUAAACCGGAGGAAGGUGGGGACGACGUCAAGUCAUCAUGGCCCUUACGAGUAGGGCUACACACGUGCUACAAUGGCGCAUACAGAGGGCAGCAAGCUAGCGAUAGUGAGCGAAUCCCAAAAAGUGCGUCGUAGUCCGGAUUGGAGUCUGCAACUCGACUCCAUGAAGUCGGAAUCGCUAGUAAUCGUGGAUCAGAAUGCCACGGUGAAUACGUUCCCGGGCCUUGUACACACCGCCCGUCACACCAUGGGAGUGGGCUGCAAAAGAAGUAGGUAGUUUAACUUCGGGAGAACGCU
rnacentral:rRNA from 3 species